rnacentral:rRNA from 1 species
UACGGAGGGUGCAAGCGUUGUUCGGAAUUACUGGGCGUAAAGCGCGCGCAGGCGGUUUGGUAAGUCAGAUGUGAAAGCCCAUGGCUCAACCAUGGACGCGCAUUUGAAACUGUCAGACUUGAGUAGUGGAGGGGGUGGUGGAAUUCCCGGUGUAGAGGUGAAAUUCGUAGAUAUCGGGAGGAAUACCGGUGGCGAAGGCGACCACCUGGCCACAUACUGACGCUGAGGCGCGAAAGCGUGGGGAGCAAACGGG